rnacentral:rRNA from 1 species
UGGGGAAUAUUGCGCAAUGGGCGAAAGCCUGACGCAGCGACGCCGCGUGAGGGAUGAAGGUUUUCGGAUCGUAAACCUCUGUCAGAAGGGAAGAAACCGUACUGUGCUAAUCAGCAGUGCCUUGACGGUACCUUCAAAGGAAGCACCGGCUAACUCCGUGCCAGCAGCCGCGGUAAUACGGAGGGUGCAAGCGUUAAUCGGAAUUACUGGGCGUAAAGCGCACGUAGGCUGCUUUGUAAGUCAGGGGUGAAAUCCCACGGCUCAACCGUGGAACUGCCUUUGAUACUGCUUAGCUUGAAUCCGGGAGAGGGUGGCGGAAUUCCAGGUGUAGGAGUGAAAUCCGUAGAUAUCGGGAGGAACAUCAGUGGCGAAGGCGGCCACCUGGACCGGUAUUGACGCUGAGGUGCGAAAGCGUGGGGAGCAAACAGG